rnacentral:tRNA from 1 species
AGGAUAAUAAUUUAAUUAACAAAAUGUUUAUUUUGCAAAUAAAUUAUAUUUUAUAUUUUGUAUAGAGUUUAUCUAA